GCUGCGGUAGCUCAGUGGUAGAGCACUUCCUUGGUAAGGGAGAGGUCGAGAGUUCAAUCCUCUCUCGCAGCACCA
rnacentral:tRNA from 1 species